rnacentral:rRNA from 1 species
GACGAACGCUGGCGGCGUGCUUAACACAUGCAAGUCGAACGGUAAGGCCCUUCGGGGUACACGAGUGGCGAACGGGUGAGUAACACGUGGGUGAUCUGCCCUGCACUUCGGGAUAAGCCUGGGAAACUGGGUCUAAUACCGGAUAGGACUCCGGACUGCAUGGUCUGGGGUGGAAAGCUUUUGCGGUGUGGGAUGGGCCCGCGGCCUAUCAGCUUGUUGGUGGGGUGAUGGCCAACAAAGGCAGCGACGGGUAGCCGGCCUGAGGGGGUGGCCGGCCACCUUGGGACUGGAAUACGGCCCAGACUCCUACGGGGGGAAGCAGUGGGAAAUAUUGCAAAAUGGGGGAAAGCCUGAUGCAGCGCCGCCGCGUGAGGGAUGACGCCCUUCGGGUUGUAAACCUCUUUCAGCAUCGACGAAGCAAAAGUGACGGUAGGUGCAGAAGAAGGCCCGGCCAACUACGUGCCAGCAGCCGCGGUAA